rnacentral:rRNA from 1 species
GAUGAACGCUGGCGGCGUGCCUAAUACAUGCAAGUCGAGCGAACGGACGAGAAGCUUGCUUUUCUGAUGUUAGCGGCGGACGGGUGAGUAACACGUGGAUAACCUACCUAUAAGACUGGGAUAACUUCGGGAAACCGGAGCUAAUACCGGAUAAUAUUUUGAACCGCAUGGUUCAAAAGUGAAAGACGGUCUUGCUGUCACUUAUAGAUGGAUCCGCGCUGCAUUAGCUAGUUGGUAAGGUAACGGCUUACCAAGGCAACGAUGCAUAGACGACCUGAGAGGGUGAUAGGGCACACUGGAACUUAGCCACGGUCCAGAAUCCUACGGGAGGCAGCAGUAGGGAAUCUUCCGCAAUGGGCGAAAGCCUGACGGAGCAACGCCGCGUGAGUGAUGAAGGUCUUCGGAUCGUAAAACUCUGUUAUUAGGGAAGAACAUAUGUGUAAGUAACUGUGCACAUCUUGACGGUACCUAAUCAGAAAGCCACGGCUAACUACGUG